rnacentral:rRNA from 1 species
UACGUAGGGUCCGAGCGUUGUCCGGAAUUACUGGGCGUAAAGAGCUCGUAGGUGGUUUGUCGCGUUGUUCGUGAAAACUCACAGCCUAACUGUGGGCGUGCGGGCGAUACGGGCAGACUUGAGUACUGCAGGGGAGACUGGAAUUCCUGGUGUAGCGGUGGAAUGCGCAGAUAUCAGGAGGAACACCGGUGGCGAAGGCGGUCUGCUGGGCAGUUGCUGACACUGAGGCGCGACAGCGUGGGGAGCAAACAGG